CCUACGGGUGGCUGCAGUAGGGAAUCUUCCACAAUGGACGAAAGCCUGAUGGAGCAACGCCGCGUGAGUGAAGAAGGGCUUCGGCUCGUAAAGCUCUGUUGGUAGAGAAGAAAGAUAGAGGUAGUAACUGGUCACUAUUUGACGGUAUUUACUUAGAAAGCCACGGCUAACUACGUGCCAGCAGCCGCGGUAAUACGUAGGUGGCAAGCGUUGUCCGGAUUUAUUGGGCGUAAAGCGAGGGCAGGCGGUUCAAUAAGUCUGAUGUGAAAGCCUUCGGCUCAACCGGAGUAUUGCAUCAGAAACUGGUUAACUUGAGUGCAGAAGAGGUAGGUGGAACUCGAUGUGUAGCGGUGGAAUGCGUAGAUAUAUCGAAGAACACCAGUUGCGAAGGCAGCUCACUGGUCUGCAACUGACGCUGAGGCUCGAAAGCAUGGGUAGCGAACAGGAUUAGAUACCCCAGUAGUC
rnacentral:rRNA from 1 species